rnacentral:snRNA from 1 species
AGCUUUCUGCAGUGGCAGUACCAUAGCCAAUGAGGUUUGCCUGAGGCAUGAUUAUUGCUAAUUGAAAAUUUUCCCUAUAGCUUGCCAUGACAACUUGAAAUAUUGUUGGCAUUGAGAAUUUCUGAGACUCUCUACAGAGG